rnacentral:rRNA from 1 species
CGCGCAGGCGGUCUGAUAAGUUAGGCGUGAAAGCUCCCGGCUAAACCGGGAGAGGUCGUCUGAUACUGUCGGACUAGAGUAUGGCAGAGGCGUGUAGAAUUCCGCGUGUAGUGGUGAAAUGCGUAGAUAUGCGGAGGAACACCAGUGGCGAAGGCGGCACGCUGGGCCAAAACUGACGCUGAGGCGCGAAAGCAUGGGUAGCGAACG